rnacentral:ncRNA from 1 species
AAAAAUAUGAAUGGAAUCUGUUCUAUGGAAAUCGGUGCAAUUCCGAUGCGGUGCCGCCACUGUAAUGAGGAGCUGGCAGCAGAGCUUGUUGUUUAACAAGCAGGACACUGGACUAUAAUCCGGGAAGUCUUCUGCCAAGCGAUGAAUCUAAGCCAGGAUACUUAAGCAGGUUUUGCUAUAGUGUU